rnacentral:lncRNA from 1 species
CCCCGCCACCUCCCCUGCGCUGAGGUCAUCGCCCGCUGACGUCAGUGCUGGGAACCUGAGCCGGGCUUGCGGGCCGAGGGAGGCGCCGGGAGAAAAGGGGAGCCGGGGAGGGGCCGAAGCCUCUGGGCGGAGGAGUGCUGCGUCCAGUUCGCGGCCAGGAUGCCUGGACCUCCUCUCCUCUCCGCCGGUCCUUCCAGAUUUAGGUCACCGGCCACCUCCUCCAAGAAGCCUCCGCUGAUAACACCUCUCUCUCCCACGCGGCCCCUUUUCUGGCUCCCACAUUUUCCAACGCCCACGAGGACGGUGCGACAACAUGAGGCGAAGUGUUCUGCAUUGCUCAGGAUGUGUCUUCGCCUCCUCGUUGGUGAUGACGUACCUUGUGUAGGGCAUCGGCUUCACUGGUGACAGCCUCGCUCUGCUGCCCAGAGCCGAUAAGAAACACCACCCAGGGAGGACGAGACGCCUCUUCCUCACUUCCUAAUCAGGGCGCAAACACUGCCAAACAUAUUCACAACCGUCUGCAAUGUCGCUGGGUAAUGUCCAGACGUCUUUUAGGGUCCCCUGCCAUCUUCUCACAAAGUUAUCUCUCAAGAGCAGCUCGAGGCCGGCCAGUCUGGGGGUUAUUCUUUACAAUGAGAAGCGGGUGACAAAGACAGAAGAAAAUGACAUUGUCCUUCAAACCUGUUAACAAAUCCUGCGUGAAAGCGAGGGUGUCAGCCCUUUUCAAAUGGUCUGCCUUUAAACCCCUUCACCCAGCCCAAAGUGAACCGAGAACAGGAACGGAAAUAGAUAAUGCAAAGGUGAUCAGGGUUGAGGGUUAAGUGGAAAACUACCCAUCUGGACUGAAGGAAGUCUUGGUAAGAUAUAAGCAUGCGAAGGGCUUCCUAAUCUCCAGGCCUGGACAAUUUCCAAGUCCCUGAGGACAGUUUCUGAGAACCCCUGGAGGGAUGGAGAAGAGUCAGAAAGCUAAAAAAGUAACCCUUCCUCCACUUGCUCUGAAGCUCCAAGCAAAAAGAUUUAAUUGUACAAAAGGCACCCACCUAAAUUAGGCAACCGAGUAACUUCCUGAUAGGAAGGUAAGCAUCUAGGACGUGCUAACAAGAUGCCUGCUCCGGUCAGGACUCAGACGCUCUGAGGUGCGGGACAUCUUUACAGGGAGGGCGGAGCUGGCCACCGGACGUGGUGGGGUGAAGGCCGCAGGCUCCUUCCCCAAGCGGCAUCUGGAAAGUAUCAGAACCUCAGCGGCUGCUUCAUGACUUCCAGGUGAUGAACAGAAAUAGCCAUGGCAGGUGCGGGUUCCAUUUGCUGCCACGAAGCUGGGAGCCCACCAGACUUGCGGUGGCAAAAACACCCAGGGCCUCUCUAAGCCCUGAGCACACCCACAGGUGAGCUGGGGAGCUGGGGAGGCUCAUGUUCCCCACAGCACAGUCCCUGGUUUCUUCCCCAUUUGCUCAACUCUCUCUCCCAAAUGCCAACUGUAUAGCUUAAAAGCCACAAUCUGGAAGCCCCUGAGGUGGAGCUGACCACAGAUAUAUUGUCUGGCCUGCAUAGCGUUUAAGUAUUUUAAAAAAUAGGUGUUGGGGAGCCUGGGGGGCUCAGGCGGUUAAGCCUCCGACUUCAGCUCAGGUCGUGAUCUCACGGUCCGUGGGUUCGAGCCCCGCGUCGGGCUCUGUGCUGACAGCUCGGAGCCUGGAGCCUGCUUCGGAUUCUGUGUCUCCCUCUCGCUCUCUCUCUGCCCCUCCCUCCCUCGUGCUCCGUCUCUCUCUGUCUCUCAGAAAUAAGUAAAAAUGUUUAAAAAAGUUAAAAAAAAAUUAGUUGUCAACAUUUAACUGGUCGGAAGCGUCCUGUUUUUUAAAACCCUCGAAUUAUGAUUUCUCUUUAAAAACCUGAAUAUGUGAACACUGGUCCCACGUUCCUG